UUGACCUCAAAUCAGGUAGGACUACCCGCUGAACUUAAGCAUAUCAAUAAGCGGAGGAAAAGAAACUAACAAGGAUUCCCCUAGUAACUGCGAGUGAAGCGGGAAAAGCUCAAAUUUGAAAUCUGACGGUUCUUGAUCGUCCGAGUUGUAAUCUAGAGAAGUGUUACCUGUGCUGGACCGUGUUCAAGUCUCCUGGAAUGGAGCAUCAUAGAGGGUGAGAAUCCCGUCUUUGACACGGACUGCCUGUACGCCGUGGUGCGCUCUCAAAGAGUCGAGUUGUUUGGGAAUGCAGCUCAAAAUGGGUGGUAAAUGCCAUCUAAAGCUAAAUAUUGGCGAGAGACCGAUAGCGAACAAGUACCGUGAGGGAAAGAUGAAAAGUACUUUGGAAAGAGAGUUAAACAGUACGUGAAAUUGCUGAAAGGGAAACGCUUGAAGUCAGUCGUGUCGGCCAGAAAUCAGCCUUGCUUUUGCCUGGUGUACUUUCUGGUUUGAUGGGUCAGCAUCAAUUUUGGCCAUCGGACAAAGUCUUUGGGAAUGUGGCAUCUUUGGAUGUGUUAUAGCCCAUUGUCGCAUACGGUGGUUGGGAUUGAGGAAUUCAGCACGCCUCGCAAGGGGCCGGGUAUUUAUACCACGUUCGUGCUUAGGAUGCUGGCAUAAUGGCUUUAAUCGACCCGU
rnacentral:rRNA from 1 species